AGAUCGGCUGACGUUGAGCGCUCUACUUCGGCGGGACGUCGGACGCCGCAUCGCCACCCGUCCGGCAUCCAACGGAAGAAAGCGAAAAUGGGACGCUAGGCUUUAGCAGACGCACGACGCGGCCCAAAUAAGCGACCGGCCCAGCCCUAGGCAGUGGAGUAAAAUGCAGCGGCGCGAAACGGGCAGGACAUGGGAUAAAAUGGCGCGAGAAUGACAAGAAACGAGCGCGAGAACCAAAGUGUCGAUUGCCGGAGGGGACGCGCGAGGGUUCCGAUCGUCGGAGGGGACGGUCCCAUCUUCUUCUCCUCCUGUACGUAAGAUGAUCAAUGUCAAUAUCCUUUGCGUUAAGUAUUAAUCCAUCAUCCAUCGUCUUCAUUCUUUACUGUUGUCCCCAUUACUGAAGGUUGUUUAUCCCUGAAUGCCUUGCCUGAAUUUUUUUUCUUGCUCUAAAGUUUCUAAAUGCUUGAAGUAUCAACUUUGAAUUUUUCUGAAUGUUCUGAACCUAGAUGUUAACUAAGGUUAAGAUCUGAACUACUUUGAUUUUUCUCAUGAUUGAGAGCAGGCUUCUUUCAUCAGGCUGCUUUAAACUUGACCACAUUUUUCCAUUUCAAACUUGCUUGUAGCAGGUCAUGUGAUGGAAGAAAACCAGAGCAAAUCUAGCAGUCCUAUGAUGGAAGGACAUAGAGAUAGUUGUUUGCCUAGUUUGGUCCCUCAUGUUGGCAUGGAAUUCAAAAAUUCAGAUGUGGCUUGGGCAUUUUGGCUUAGCUAUGGUGGGCAGAGAGGGUUUGAGGUUAGAAAAAGAUAUACAAAUAAGAGACCAUCUGAUGGCAAGAUUACGUCAUGUAGAUUUGUUUGUGCAAAUGAGGGUCAUCGAUCUCUAGAUAAAAGAGAUCGUUUGAUAAAGUGCCCUCGAGCUGAAACUAGAACUGAUUGUCAAGUCCAAAUGAAUCUUGUAAUGGACCGAGAGAAGGGAAUUUUGAAAGUGACUCAACUAGUUUUGGAGCACAAUCAUGCACUGCACCUGCCAGAAACCUUGCACUUAAUGGUGUCGCAAAGGAAAAUUUCAGAUUUACAGGCUUUUGAAAUUGAAACGGCGGAUGAUGCGGGAAUUUAGCCAAAAGCCGCACAUGAGUUGGCAGCCCGUCAAGUUGGUGGUCCACUCAAUCUUAGCUACACCCUUCGUGACCACAAGAAUUAUUUGCGAACCAAGCGACAACGAGAGAUGGCAUAUGGAGAAGCCGGUUUAGGAGGAGGCAAAUAAUGAUGGUGCACAGGGACAAAGACCAAUUACCGAAGAUAGGGUGAAAGGUUCUGAAGAUAGCAUGGGCCUCAUAAGCUGGUCUCAACUCCUAAAUGGACCACCGUGUGAUGAUAUUUUAACUAGAGACUUAUUUUAGUAGUUGUGGUUGUCUCUUGUUAUUUUGCAAGGGAAUGCUGAUCCAGUGCCCAGGCAUUUCAGAUCUAGGAGCAUUUUGCCAUAUGUAGCCUGCAGUACUGGGAGCAUUAUGAAGGGUGGAAUCGUGUGAGGAUAUCCAUCAUGUGUCAUAGAUGAACAAACAAGCACCUAUAAUGUGCAGUUCUGUUCUGGAAGCAUUUUGCCAUCUGUAACCUACAAUAUAUUGCUUAUAUGCAAUUCAGUUCUGGAAACAUCCCUCUUUACUGAAGACUCAAUGUUGUCCACAUUCUAUUUGCUGUUCCUGAGAAAUUAUUCAAUCAUCAAAUUACAAUCUUUAUAUUCUCAGAUUACAUUGUUUGAACAAAAUUAAAUU